CGACGCUGGCGGCAGGCUAACACUGCAAGUUUAGCGCGCCUUCGGGUGAGCGGCGGACGGGUUAGUAACGCGUGGGAACGUGCCCUUCUCUACGGAAUAGCCUCUGGAAACGGAGAGUAAUACCGUAUACGCCCUUUGGGGGAAAGAUUUAUCGCGAGAAGGAUCGGCCCGCGUUAGAUUAGGUAGUUGGUGGGGUAACGGCCUACCAAGCCUACGAUCUAUAGCUGGUUUUAGAGGAUGAUCAGCAACACUGGGACUGAGACACGGCCCAGACUCCUACGGGAGGCAGCAGUGGGGAAUCUUAGACAAUGGGGGCAACCCUGAUCUAGCCAUGCCGCGUGAGUGAUGAAGGCCUUAGGGUCGUAAAGCUCUUUCGCCUGUGAUGAUAAUGACAGUAGCAGGUAAAGAAACCCCGGCUAACUCCGUGCCAGCAGCCGCGGUAAUACGGAGGGGGUUAGCGUUGUUCGGAAUUACUGGGCGUAAAGCGCGCGUAGGCGGAUUAGAAAGUUGGGGGUGAAAUCCCGGGGCUCAACCCCGGAACUGCCUCCAAAACUGCUAGUCUAGAGUUCGAGAGAGGUGAGUGGAAUUCCGAGUGUAGAGGUGAAAUUCGUAGAUAUUCGGAGGAACACCCGUGGCGAAGGCGGCUCACUGGCUCGAUACUGACGCUAAGGUGCGAAAGUGUGGGGAGCAACCGGAUUAGAUACCUGGUUGUCCCACCGUAAACAAAAUGCCACGGCGGGAUAUACAUUCGUGACAC
rnacentral:rRNA from 1 species